GGAGAGUUGUCCGAGCGGUUUAAGGUGCGGCUCUCGAAAAGCCGUGUGCCUCAAAAGCACCGUGGGUUCGAAUCCCAUGCUCUCCG
rnacentral:tRNA from 1 species